GCGAAGAUAGUGUAGGGGUUAUCAUCGCGGCUUCCCAUGCCGCGGACCCGGGUUCGAGUCCCGGUCUUCGCA